rnacentral:rRNA from 1 species
GACGAACGCUGGCGGCGUGCUUAACACAUGCAAGUGGAGCGACGAACCAGGGCUUGCCCUGGGGCAAAGCCGCGAACGGGUGAGUAACACGUGGGUAACCUACCCCAAUGAUCGGGACAACCCGGGGAAACUCGGGCUAAUACCGAAUGUGCUUCAGGUUCAUGAGGACUUGAAGUAAAGAUAGCUUCGGCCUUCGCAUUGGGAUGGGCCCGCGGCCCAUUAGCUUGUUGGUGAGGUAACGGCUCACCAAGGCGACGUUGGGUAGCUGGUCUGAGCGGACGAUCAGCCACACUGGGACUGAGACACGGCCCAGACUCCUACGGGAGGCAGCAGUGGGGAAUCUUGCGCAAUGCGCGAAAGCGUGACGCAGCAACGCCGCGUGGGGGAAGAAGGCCUUCGGGUUGUAAACCCCUUUCAGUUGGGACGAAGCUUCGCCGGUGAAUAGCCGGCUGGAGUGACGGUACCUUCACAAGAAGCCCCGGCUAACUACGUGCCAGCCGCCGCGGUAAGAC